GCCCGCCGAAAAACCAUCGCUGGCCUACAAACGAACCCUUUCAAGAGUGGAAAAUCAGAACAGUAAUGGGCGAGUAAGGGUCCAUAUUGCCGUCCGUGUGUAAGUGUU
rnacentral:ribozyme from 1 species